UACGGGAGGCAGCAGUGGGGAAUAUUGCACAAUGGGCGCAAGCCUGAUGCAGCCAUGCCGCGUGUAUGAAGAAGGCCUUCGGGUUGUAAAGUACUUUCAGUCGUGAGGAAGGUGUUAAGGUUAAUAACCUUAGCAAUUGACGUUAGCGACAGAAGAAGCACUGGCUAACUCCGUGCCAGCAGCCGCGGUAAUACGGAGGGUGCGAGCGUUAAUCGGAAUUACUGGGCGUAAAGGGCACGCAGGCGGUUAAUUAAGUUGGAUGUGAAAUCCCCGGGCUUAACCUGGGAAUGGCAUUCAAGACUGGUUAGCUAGAGUCUUGUAGAGGGGGUUAGAAUUCCAUGUGUAGCGGUGAAAUGCGUAGAGAUGUGGAGGAAUACCGGUGGCGAAGGCGGCCCCUGGGACAAGACUGACGCUCAUGUGCGAAAGCUGGGGAGCAAACAGGAUUAGGAUACC
rnacentral:rRNA from 1 species